CAAUGAAAUACCUGGUCAAUCAUGGGCAUCAGUCCAAGGGUUCUGGCUCGCAGAAAACAUCCAGGAAGAACUGGCUCCUAUUCGAACAUAUGACAUAAAUAGUCCAUCAACAUAUAAGGUGGAGAUGGAGAGAAGAAAAUGAGAUAAGGCGGUUCACCUGCAUGAUAACCAAACAAUCCAUGGGAUCAUUGUCUUCGCAUAGCGUGCGAGGGAUGAAACCAUAAUUGUGAGGAUAGACUACUGAGGAAUACAAAAUCCGAUCAACCUGAGAUUCAUUUAAACUCAUCAAUACAUGAAAGGGAAAAGCCUUGCCUUAUCCUGCGAGGUAUAUGCCUCACCAACAUGUCUAAAGGUACCUUAAUCAUUCCGGUCUUUUUGUCAAGUUCAUAUUUCACCUUACUGCCUUUUGAUAUCUCCACAACCUGUACGGUUGAACAAGGAAUCCAACAACCGAACACUUAGUAGUGCAUGCAUGGAAACUUCUCCAUUUCCAUGUCCAGUCAAUAAAGGCUUACACAAUUGAAAACGGUUGGAGCUUCAGAUCCUGCACACAACAUAUAUUGCAAUAUGUGGUACCAAUAUCAAGAUCAUGCCAUGGAUGUGCAGCUACCGAUCUCUUUGACAUAGCCGAUAGGAUCCUCUCAUUUAGACGGGGGCGUGGAGCUUCAGUCGAUUCACUCAUCCUUUUUAUUUUAUUUUUUCCAGAAUAGAAUAAAAUGCAUCAACAUUCAAUCAAAUUCAGUCCACCAUGUUGCAAUCAAA